UGAGUGUGUUCAAGGGACUGGACUGC
rnacentral:piRNA from 1 species